CGCUGGGCAGUUGAUGAAAAAUACUAUGCCAGCAAGUGUAUCACGCGAGAUGAGAGAGAACGCAGAGAAGAACUCGGACGGCCGGAAAGCCGGACCGCGACGAAAACCCAUGUAAACCCUAGAAAUUGAAAAAGUUGGAUCGUCACAUUAGCCAUUACAAAGUGUAACGUGGUUGCGUAAAUUUAGCCGAAUUUACCAUCAUUUCUUUAACUUCCUGGUUCGAUCGGUUGAUCAGCUUAACCAGAUUUCAGCGCGUGUGGGAGUAAAAAGCCACGAAAGAGGGCAUAAAUUGUCACCAGAUUAACCAUAAUUAAAGCCACUUAGCGACCAGCGAAUUUAACCCGUGAGCAACAAGAGCAUUUGUGUGAGGAAAAGGUGAUAAAGGGCAAACUAUUCAUGUGAGUUGAAUUAUAUUUCCAUCUAAAUCAUGCGUAAUAAAAUCAAUAUUUUUUAGUUUUAAGCUACUACCAGAAAAGUUGCUGUAAAAAUUCAGUUUGUUCUGAGG